CCCACCUGGUGGACACUCCCCUAGGGGACCGAAUGGGGGACUGUGACAUACAUAAAAAUACAUAAAAUGACAUAACUGUUGCAUUUUACAAGAUUUUAUAGGCAUUCCACACGUCCCCAGAUAGCUAGGAUCUGAGCGCACCAAAGUACCGAAUAGCGUUCAGAUCCUAUACACACAGUCUAAUCGCCGUGGAGCCAAAGUGUUCACAUAGUCAGUUUUCAUACGAAUGGGCUCCACAGGAUUCCUAUCUGGGGUACGGUGUAUUCCGUUUAAAUCCACGAAUAUAGAGUCAUUCGUGUCAAUCUACCGAACAAGAAGGGAGGUCGGCGGCUUCAGCGGAGUUCGUGACAAAAUGUGUCAAUUUUUAGUUCCAUGAGUUAGGCGUCGAACACCGUUGUGUGUUUGUGUGUUUUAAAAUGGCCGCGACCUCGUGUUCGGCAUUCAAUUGGCGGCCACCCAACUGCUGUACCAAUUACGAGGUGUCUGCGGUUAAUCUUCAACGUUCGAAUGGGGCCAAGAGGUUAAUCAGCAGCACACUCCUCUACUUGGUGGCCGGCUGUUCGGUAGUUUUGUUCGGUCAUAAACAGGGGAAUGCCAUAGAGUCCACAGGAACGAGAAAAACAAAUUAAAUAAGUGAACAAGCCAUACGGUUGAUUCAGUCUAGGACAGAGUGAUCUGUCACAGAAGCCCAGGCCAACUCCUUGGUUUUGCACCCCUCCCUGUCACAGGUGCCUCAUUACAGGACCCUAUUUAGCCUUAACUUGCAGAGAGUCCCAGUAAGGAAGUAUUUCCCAAGUAAGUGGAUUAAUCUCAUAAGGGCAGGCAUUAGGCUGCUAGAGUAGGACCUGCCAAGAAUGGGGUACAUUGACGUUGUGGCAGGCUUAUGCAAUAUAUGACUGAGAGGCUACUAAAAUAAACUGGAUAUACCCCAUGUGUAAUACCCCCAUCAUGAGGGUAAUUUUCAUUCCUGGGCUACAAUUUGGUCUCAAAGGCAACAUAACCAGUCUGGCAAAUUUCAAUGUGUAUAAACUGAAAAAUGUAAUGUGCUAUAUUUGACCCGGUAACUUUCCAAAACACCAUAAAACCUGUACAUUGGGGGUACUGUUUUACUAGUGAGACAUCGGUGAAUACAAAUAUGUGUACUUUA